ACUCAAACGUCACGCGACUGAUUGAUGCGUAUAAAAACAGGUUUUUCUUUCACUUCUACUGUAGAACCGCCCUAAACGUACAGACAGUCCAGCUUACUUUACAGACUUUAGUCAGAACAAUCCAACAUGUCCGGCAAGGCUAAUAAUGACAACAAGUCUGCUCAGUGCAACCCUACGUCUGGCAAAUACCAAGGUUACUCAUCUUCAUAUGGGGGAACCGGCACAAAGGCCGACCUUGGUAACCACAGCAACCAGCUCAACCCUAACAACACAAGAUUUCAGGGAGGGAAAAAAUGAGGUUGUUCUCAUCGAAGCUGCGGACGCAUUUAUUUCUUAACAUGCAGGUCCGCAAAGCUCUUUAAUAAAUAAUGAUAUUUUUUUUUUUAAAUGUCAUUAAAACUCUAUCCUGUAAACUCAGUCAAUAAAGUGUGUUGACCUUCUAAA